rnacentral:piRNA from 1 species
GAAACUGGGCUGGAAGGAAGCACAAA